rnacentral:sRNA from 2 species
CUCUAGCCCCGAUUGUAAUGAAAAUCCCACAGCUGCCUGGCGAAGCCGGCGCGAGGAAUUGUAAUGAAAGCGGGAAACUAG